UACGUAGGGCGCAAGCGUUAUCCGGAAUUAUUGGGCGUAAAGGGCGCGCAGGCGGCUCAUUUUGUCAGGCGUGAAAGCCCCGGGCUUAACCUGGGAACUGCGUUUGAUACGGAUGGGCUAGAGUUCGGGAGAGGAGAGUGGAAUUCCCAGUGUAGAGGUGAAAUUCGUAGAUAUUGGGAAGAACACCGGUGGCGAAGGCGGCUCUCUGGACCGAUACUGACGCUGAGGCGCGAAAGCGUGGGGAGCAAACAGG
rnacentral:rRNA from 1 species